rnacentral:rRNA from 1 species
UACGUAGGGUGCGAGCGUUGUCCGGAAUUAUUGGGCGUAAAGAGCUCGUAGGCGGUGUGUCGCGUCGGCCGUGAAAACCUGCAGCUUAACUGUGGGCUUGCGGUCGAUACGGGCAUCACUGGAGUUCGGCAGGGGAGACUGGAAUUCCUGGUGUAGCGGUGAAAUGCGCAGAUAUCAGGGAGGAACACCGGUGGGCGAAGGCGGGUCUCUGGGCCGAUACUGA